rnacentral:rRNA from 1 species
UACGAAGGGUGCAAACGUUGUUCGGAAUUAUUGGGCGUAAAGCGCACGUAGGCGGCUUUGCAAGUCGGAUGUGAAAUCCCUCGGCUUAACCCAGGAAGUGCAUCCGAAACUGCAGAGCUUGAGUACUGAAGAGGAUAGCGGAAUUCCCGGUGUAGCGGUGAAAUGCGUAGAGAUCGGGAAGAACAUCGGUGGCGAAAGCGCUCUACUGGACCGCAACUGACACUCAGGGACGAAAGCUAGGGGAGCGAAUGGG